CAUUUUGUCCGUGUGCCCAAUUUUGGAGCCAGCCCUCUAGGAUCUCCCGGCCAAUCAAGAGACCACACAUUGUUGCCUAAGAGACCCCGGAUGCCAGUGAAAAGAUUUACAGGUAGUGAUUGGCCUACUGGAAGGGGUGGGGGCUAGACGGAGUCACAGAAACAGCUAUGGCAACACCAGCACUAGAGGCUUGAGGAGAAAGACUUGAAGAGAAAGACUUAAAGAGGUAUUUGAAGAAAGAAGAGCUCUGCUUGGAAAAUGGGGGUCCCCAACCUCUGGGCCACAGACCCACUGGUACCUCUCAUCAGAUCAGCAGUGGCAUCACAUUAGAAAUAAAGUGCACAAUAAAUGUAAUGCUGUAGUUUUUCCAGGAGUCAUGUAUGGAUGCGAGAGUUGAACCAGAAAGAAGGCUGAGCGAUGAAGAAUUGAUGCUUUUGAACUGUGGUGUUGGAGAAGACUCUUGAGCAUCCCUUGAACUGCAAGGAGAUCAAACCAGUCAAUCCCAAAGGAAGUCAGUCCUGAUUAUUCAUUGGAAGGACUGAUGCUGAAGCUGAAACUCCAUACUUGGGCCACCGGAUGUGAAGAGCCGACUCAUUAGAAAAGACUGAUGCUGGGAAAGAUUAAAGGCAGGAGGAGAAGGGGACGACAGAGGACCAGAGGGU
rnacentral:lncRNA from 1 species